GGGGCGCAGCAGGCGCGAAAACUUUACAAUGCGAGCAAUCGUGAUAAGGGAACUCCGAGUGCCYGUAAAAUCGGGCUGUCCGCCAGUGUAAAUAACUGGUGAAGAAAGGGCCGGGCAAGACCGGUGCCAGCCGCCGCGGUAAUACCGGCGGCUCGAGUGGUGGCCACUAUUACUGGGCUUAAAGCGUUCGUAGCUGGUCUGUUAAGUCUCUGGGGAAAUCUUCCGGCUUAACCGGAAGGCGUCUCAGGGAUACUGGCAGACUAGGGACCGGAAGAGGUGAGAGGUACUCCAGGGGUAGGAGUGAAAUCCUGUAAUCCUUGGGGGACCACCUGUGGCGAAGGCGUCUCACCAG
rnacentral:rRNA from 1 species